rnacentral:precursor_RNA from 12 species
CUCUCCUGCCACCAUGUCUUCCUGCAGCCCUACGUGGAUAAGGCAUUCUAUUUUGUGAGUUUUGCCAAAAUAAUCACUUUAUCCACGGAGGCUGUGGGCAAAGAAUUUUCCUCCAACUAA